GACGAACGCUGGCGGCGCGCCUAACACAUGCAAGUCGAACGGAGUUGUGUUGAAAGCUUGCUGGAUAUACAACUUAGUGGCGGACGGGUGAGUAACACGUGAGUAACCUGCCUUUCAGAGUGGAAUAACGUCUGGAAACGGACGCUAAUACCGCAUAACGUGAGAAGAGGGCAUCCUCUUUUCACCAAAGAUUUAUCGCUGAGAGAUGGGCUCGCGGCCGAUUAGGUAGUUGGUGAGAUAACAGCCCACCAAGCCGACGAUCGGUAGCCGGACUGAGAGGUUGAUCGGCCACAUUGGGACUGAGACACGGCCCAGACUCCUACGGGAGGCAGCAGUGGGGGAUAUUGCACAAUGGGGAAACCCUGAUGCAGCGACGCCGCGUGAGGGAAGACGGUUUUCGGAUUGUAAACCUCUGUCUUUAGGGACGAAAAAAUGACGGUACCUAAGGAGGAAGCCACGGCUAACUACGUGCCAGCCGCCGCCGUAAGAC
rnacentral:rRNA from 1 species